rnacentral:rRNA from 1 species
CAGCAGCCGCGGUAAUACGGAGGAUCCAAGCGUUAUCCGGAUUUAUUGGGUUUAAAGGGUGCGUAGGUGGCCUGUUAAGUCAGGGGUGAAAGACGGUAGCUCAACUAUCGCAGUGCCCUUGAUACUGAUGGGCUUGAAUGAACUAGAGGUAGGCGGAAUGUGACAAGUAGCGGUGAAAUGCAUAGAUAUGUCACAGAACACCAAUUGCGAAGGCAGCUUACUAUGGUUUUAUUGACACUGAGGCACGAAAGCGUGGGGAUCAAACAGGAUUAGAUACCCGAGUAGUCCCUGUCUCUUAACC